rnacentral:rRNA from 1 species
CGGACGGGUGAGUAACACGUGGAUAGCCUACCUAUAAGACUGGGAUAACUUCGGGAAACCGGAGCUAAUACCGGAUAAUAUAUUGAACCGCAUGGUUCAAUAGUGAAAGACGGUUUUGCUGUCACUUAUAGAUGGAUCCGCGCCGCAUUAGCUAGUUGGUAAGGUAACGGCUUACCAAGGCAACGAUGCGUAGCCGACCUGAGAGGGUGAUCGGCCACACUGGAACUGAGACACGGUCCAGACUCCUACGGGAGGCAGCAGCC